AUAUUUUAUUUCUUUCCUUUUUUUUUUCUUUCAUUUUUCUUUUUCCCUCUUUUUCUUCCCCCCUUCCAUAUUCUUCCUCUCGCAAACCCAGCCGCUCGCCACCGACCUCGACCAACACCUCUCGUCGUCGACCUUGACCAGCAUCUCCUCGCUGCUGACCUUGAUCGCCAGCCUAGAUCCGAGCCACGAGUAGCCCAGCUUCGACUUCGGCUUCUUUGCGCCUCAACCAUUCGCGCCGCCCAAAUUUGAUUCUAGCCCCUCGCCGCUGACCGUUUGCACAGCUCAGAUCUGGUUCCGGUCUCCCACGUCGAGCCGCCCGUGCUCGUGUGCUGCCAGAUCUGCUCGCGCCAAGCCACAUCGUUGGAUCUGAAGCUGCACCGUCGACUCCCAGCCAGUCGUGCCCUCCCCUCGCCGUUAGCUCGACCUUGUCGUCGAACCAGCUUCCACAAUAAAUCUUCUUUGCCACUUGGUUCUGAUCAAAUCUUGGUUGGAGUAAGAUUUUUUGCGUUAAUUGGAGGUUUUGGAGGAGAAUUUGUGCGCUGUCCAGCGAGUGUUGAAGUUCCUCCUUCGUAGUGAUUUGAUUCAAGACUUGAGACGUUUAGGGUGUUGCUCAUCAAAGUAAAGGCCAAUUAUCUUUUGAAGUUUGGUGUUGCUUGUCUUGAAAAGGAUAAGCUUGCUUGGGCUUCUUUGGAUUUAACUUUGAGGUAAGUAUAGAGAUGCACCGGCAAUGGACAAGCGGAAUUCGUGAUCGAGCCACUGGGA